rnacentral:rRNA from 1 species
AUCCUGUCUCAGCAUCCAGGAAGCCACUCACGGAUCCUAUCUGAACUCAGAAGCAGAGCAGAGCUGGGCCUGAUAAUACUUGGAUGGGAGACCACCUGGAAACACCUGGUAAGGUGGGCUA